AAAAAAGUAUUAAUUUUAAUUUAUUUAUAUUUAAUCUUUUUUAUAUUAUUUUUUUUAAUAAAAAAAAAAAUAAUUUUAGUAAUUUUAUUUUUUGAAAUGAUUAAUUUUUUAAUAAUUUAAUUUUUUUUUUAUAUUAAUUUUUUAUAAGAAAAAUAAUAUUAUUUUUGUAUCUUGUGUAUCAGAGUUAUUUAAAUUAAAUUAAUUAAAUUUUAAAAAUUUCGAAUUAAAAAGAUUUAAAUUUUUAUUUAAGUUAUUAUGUUAUUAAUAUUUAUAAUAUAAAUUUAGUAGUGAAAUGUUAAUCGAUUUUUAUUAUAUUUAAUUAUCUUUGAAAUAGAUUUAAUCUAAUUUUAAAUUUAAAUUAAAUUAUUAUUGAUUAUUUUUAUUAAAUUUUAAUUUUAAAUUAAUAUAAUUUGGGAUAAUCUAAAUUAUAAAAAUUAAAAAUAAAAUAUUAAUUUUUUAAAAAAUUUAAUUAUUAUAUUUAUAAAUAAUAAUAUUUUGAAAAAAUUUUAUUAUUUAUUUUUUUUUUUAAUAAUUUUUUUAUUACUUUUAUUAAUUAAAAGAUUAAUUUUAUAAUUUAUAAUUAAAAUAAAAUUAUGAUUAAAUUAGUAUUAUUUUUUUUUUAAACAUAUAUUAAUAAUUCGGCAAAAAAUUUAUUCAAUUGUUUAUCAAAAACAUUGUUUUUUAUUAUUAUUUAAAAAUAAAACCUGCCCAUUGAAUUUUAAUUUUUUUAAAGGCCGCAGUAUUUUGACUGUGCUAAGGUAGCAUAAUCAUUAGAUUUUUAAUUGUAAUCUUGAAUGAAUGGUUUAAUGAGAUAAAGUCUUUUUUAUAUAUGAUAUUGAAUUUUAUUUUUUAGUUAAAAAGCUAAAAUAAAAUAAAAGGACGAGAAGACCCUAUAGAAUUUUAUAUUUUUUAUAUUAUUUUAAAUUUUAUAUUAUUAAAUUUUUUUAUUAAAAAUAUUUUAUUGGGGCGAUAAUUAAAUUUAAUUAACUUUAUAUAAUAUUUUUCAUUAAUAAUUGUUUUAAUGAUCUUUUUUUAUUGAUUAAAAAUUUAAAUUACCUUAGGGAUAACAGCAUAAUAUUAUUAAGAAGUUCUUAUUUUUAAUAUUGUUUAUGACCUCGAUGUUGGAUUAAAUAAAAUUUUUAUGUGAAGAUACAUUUAUAAUUAGUCUGUUCGACUUUUAAUUAUUUACAUGAUCUGAGUUCAAACCGGUGUGAGCCAGGUUGGUUUCUAUCUUUUAUAUGCAUGCAAGUUAAAUUUAAAAUUUAGUACGAAAGGAAUAAUUUUAAUAAAUUAUUUUUAUUU
rnacentral:rRNA from 1 species